rnacentral:lncRNA from 1 species
GACUGGAGUCUAUAUUGCCACGAUAUUCUCGAAUCCAUACCUGAUAUUCUGGAUUACUCUGCUGGCCCGCGUCUCACACCUAUUAUGAGAAUGUUACUCCAUUCAUGUAGAAUUUGACUUGCUCUAGGGACUCUAAAGUUUGGUCCAAAGAGGACUUCAGAAACUCACAUAUCUGCUCGGAGGGGGAUGAUUUGCGUUUGACCAAACUGUCGAAGUACGCACAUUGAAGCAUAUGGUUGUAUACCUCUCAACCCGAUAGGCUCAAUAUAAUAAAGUCCUAUACAUCGUAGGUAAGCCGUGGAACAUGAGAGUAAUGGGUAUUUCUAUUGGAUUUGGUCACUGGUACGGGAGGCUAAAAACUCAAACCAAUCAUCAGUAUUGAUCGGGGACAAGAAUUUUCUCAUCCUAUCAUUGUAAGUUUCAAUUGCAUGUGAAGCACUAAACAUUAUAUCGGUCAUGUUGUCACAUAUGUUGAAAAACUCAGUUGCCCAUAUCUGCAUAAGAAGAUUGCAACCUUCAAAGAAGUUUGUUUCACCUCUUUUACAUUUCCAAGUGCGCGGAAUAUUUCUGCCA